GGCGCACCGGCUCCCGGUACUGCCCAAACUAUAACAUUAAAAAUUCAAAUAUUUUUCAAGAAUGAAACAUCAUUUUGAUAUAAAAGAAAGAAUAAAACAUUAUUUCAAAUUGAUACUAGUACAUUUGUCCAGCUCAAAAAAGCAAAAAUUGCGCUUCAGUUUCCCAACAACACAGUUCGUCCCACUUAAACAAAGCAAACCGGUCGUCACGUCUCAGCUUAAACCACGCGUUCCAGAAAGAAGACGGGAAAGGAAUCCACCAAAUAAGCCUCCGCCGUUCCCACAGCACUCGCCAGAUCUCGGUGGCGGCGGUGGCAUCACGGAGACAGAUGGCCGGCCGGCGCGAGCCCCCCCUGAUGCGUACCGGCUUGGGCAGCGGGNNNNN
rnacentral:lncRNA from 1 species